UACGUAGGGUGCAAGCGUUGUCCGGAAUUAUUGGGCGUAAAGAGCUCGUAGGCGGUCUGUCACGUCGGCUGUGAAAUCCCGAGGCUCAACCUCGGGUCUGCAGUCGAUACGGGCAAACUAGAGUAUUGCAGGGGAGACUGGAAUUCCUGGUGUAGCGGUGAAAUGCGCAGAUAUCAGGAGGAACACCGGUGGCGAAGGCGGGUCUCUGGGCAAUAACUGACGCUGAGGAGCGAAAAGCGUGGGGGAGCGAACAGGG
rnacentral:rRNA from 1 species